CAUUAUUAACUGUUAAAACACCAGUCUUUAUUAGCAAAAUAGGAUGAACAACAAGUUAUUUGAUGUCUGACAUUAAAUAUAAUGUUUUUCUUUAUAAUUGAUUUAUCAUUCAUCAGGCCAUUACGCUUCUCAUUUUUCAUGUUGUGGACUUUUAUAGUUAACAAUACAGUAUAGGUUUUUUCUCAUUGUUGAAGGUGGUAAAGUGAUAUGAGGUGCUAAAAUCCUUGUCAUAUGUGUCAAUUGACUCAUUGCAUUGGCAAUCACACCGCAUCUCUUAAUUUUAUUAUAGUGGUAAAAAUCAACAUUGACAUGCUAUUAGAUAAAUAGUUCAUAAAUCUGUCU
rnacentral:lncRNA from 1 species